rnacentral:sRNA from 1 species
UUCGCGAGAUCAGUGCAGCCUCGAUGGCAAUGGCAUUUAC